UACGUAGGGGGCGAGCGUUGUCCGGAUUUAUUGGGCGUAAAGAGCUCGUAGGCGGCUUGUCGCGUCGACUGUGAAAUCCCGCGGCUCAACUGCGGGUCUGCAGUCGAUACGGGCAGGCUAGAGUUCGGUAGGGGAGACUGGAAUUCCUGGUGUAGCGGUGAAAUGCGCAGAUAUCAGGAGGAACACCGAUGGCGAAGGCAGGUCUCUGGGCCGAUACUGACGCUGAGGAGCGAAAGCGUGGGGAGCGAACAGG
rnacentral:rRNA from 1 species